UCAUUCUGGUGAUUCACACACCUGAGGCCGGCUGAUUGGACUGAUUGAAGCCCUGCUUCAUUCUACCUGCCUAAAAACAGGAUUUUACUACUAAAUAUCUUUUACUUAACAACAUUAAACUAAUACAUUUUUUUCAUCCGUCUUGCUUGGUGAGAGGCAAUUACUUCAAUCACCUGUUCCAGCUGGGGGAAGGAACCGUGACCAAGUCCAGACAGUGGGAAGCUGCAUGGAACAGCGGACACUGGAGAUUGGUCUGGUGAAAGAAGAAGGCGGGAGGGGCACCUCGACGAUAUGGAGAUCCAGGUCCCCCGGAGCCCCUGCCUGCGCUCUGGUGAUGGACGGCCUCGUAGCGGCUGUGACUGCAGAGCGGAGAGCCCUUGCCACGGGAGGGGGGGGGGGGUAGAGGUGCCGGUGUGUCCCUUCUGUCUCCCCGGUGUGAUGAAAUGUAAAUUGGAUAAUGGCUCAUUAACAUGCACAGAUAGAAGGAAAACCCAUUGACUACCUCAGCAGCUCCUGCCACUUGUUUUGGGGGAAAUUAAUUUAAUAACUGGAUCAGUAAAGCGCCGUGAUCACAGCCCGAGGUCCAAUUUGCAUAUAAAUGUACGGUGGUGCAUUCAGCUCGCAAUGUUUAUGGUCGAGUAGAGCUGAGCCGACUGUUUUUAAUUACCUUUACUUUGUAUUACUCUGGAGGUGAAGGGGGUGGGGACUCGCAGUGUCGCAGAGAGGGCUAGAAAAGGUUGCAUUUCCCCAUCUGAUACUUUUUAAUUGCAAAUAUAUUACAAAGGUAUUUUGAAGACUAGUGAUCGGAUGCUUCUUCCCAAUGUUGAAGAAAAAUUAUCACACCAAUACAAACGCAGCCUCACAGGGUUCUUUCUCGGGAUAUCACUUUGAGACUUCCACAUAAAUUGAUACUUAUUGAAUUCCCAGCUUCAAUAUGCUCUUAAUCUCCGUGAGGUAGGGUGAAAUCCUUUUAGCAUAUGUAGGCACAAUGAAGAUGUAUGCCAUAUUCAAAACAAUAAUAAGUAAAAAGCAUGAAUUAACGCUUGUUGGAAACUCUCACGCCUCAAACUGGAGCAAAAUUCAGCACAAUCUGUAGGCAAGGAGAUGAAAACAAUAAGCGUCUCGUAAGCAGUCUUCAGAAGCUAGUUUUCAAUGUAUGGCAGAAAUGAAUAUGGCAAAAUUGACCCCCAUGUCUUUUGAUCUUUUGGGGGGAGAACGGCAUCGUGUGUCUGUGAUCUGACAACCCUCUCACCUAGCCUGGAUUUCACUUUACCUGUCACACCGCCUGUCUCCCAACACAUCACAUCCCUGAACUCACCAGAGCGCCAUGUUUGAAGCGGCUUGUAUUCUGUUGCUGCUCAGGAUCCAAAAAGCCUCUAACGCUGUGAGAGUUCAGUUACCGGCACCCUGCCUGAAAGCUAUUUUUAUAAACAUGUCCAAGUUCCACUAAGUAUAAAUAUCAGCUUGAACCCUUUGAUGUAUAUUAAAAAAAACUGGAGACAUCCUUUUGAAUUUGAAACCAAUCUGUUCUGUAUUAAAAGUGUUUUCUGCAUUGGAUUACAAAGCCGGUCUAACUAUCGUUUUAAUUGUUACUUUGUAGUCUGGAAGCCUUCUUCAUUCAGCUGUUGAAGCAGAGCUCAACAGAACAGAUAAAGUGAAGUCAUUUUUUUGUAAUGUAAUUUUUGUACCCUUCAAACUGAAAAUUACAUUUUUACAUUUAAUAAUUCCUUUGUACUUCAGUGUUUGCUUAUUAACGUGCAUGUGGGACACAAAAAGCUGAUCUUUGCUUGAGACUAGAUCCACUCGGAGGUAUGUGCCCAUCAUUUGAAGAUUUGCAACAUAUGGGACAUCUCGUAGCCCUACACAAGUGUGCGCUCACCACCCUUCUCGGAUAAGCCAGCUUACCUAUAACCCUGUGUCUUUAGAAAAUUAAAGCUGUUCUAUUUGUUGAGGGGACAGUAGAUAUUUUCAAUUAAAAUUCCCGAUCUAAUUGAACAUAUUUUCCUUGACUCUUCAAAAGGUCUCAGGCAGAAUCAUUUUUUGCCCAAAUAAUUGUGCAUUCCCUCGUUUUGCGUUCACAUCUUGUGAUAUCGUGCUAAAUACAUUUUGCAUCCCCUGUGGUCAAAAUAUAAAAUCAAGUAUUCUGUAUAAG
ensembl:lncRNA